rnacentral:lncRNA from 1 species
AUGUCCCCGGAGCAGGAAGGGGGAGGACACAACCCUGAGGCAGCGGAGAUCCCGCUCGUGUCCCCCCCGCCCGGCCCGGAGCUGCGGGAGGGGACACGGCCGGGGCAGCCCCCGGUGUCACAGCACGGGGCUGGCGGAGGGGACGGGCUGGUUUGGGGUCACAGUGGGGACAAACUGAUUUUUGGGGUGGCGGUGGGGACGGGCUGGAUUUGGGGUCACAGUGGGGACAGGCUGGAUUUGGGGUGGUUUUGGGGACAGGCUGGAUUUGGGGUAACAGAAGGCACAGGCAGUUUUGGGGUGGCAGUGGGCACAGGCUGGAUUUGGGGUCACACCCAGCCCGGCUACCAGCAGGUCCUGCAGGUCAUGGGAUGGCUUUGGGGCAGGAACAUGGGAUUGGGAAUUCAGUGGGGUGGCUGUGCCCUCCCCGGGGUGAGGGGACAGAGCAGGGGGGACACCGAGCAGCACUUGGUGGCACUGCCACGCUCGAGUGCCUUUUGACCCUGUGUGCUCAGCAAGGAGGGUCCCAUCCCCAGUACAUCCCAAAUUCCCCAAUUUUCAUGGUCCCUCUGUCCUGGCUGUCCCCUCCCAGCCCAGCCCUGUCACACAUCUCUGCCACCGGCAGCUCCAGUGAGGGUAAAUUUUUGAUGAAGCAGGGAUUAAAUAUUUGUGGCUGCCGCUCGAGAUUUCAAUAAUUCAGCGGGGAAGGGCGGGCGAGGCCGGGGCGGCUCCGGCCGUGUGGCACAGGGGGACACGGUGGCCACGUGGAGCACGGAUGUGCCCGGCUGGGAAUCCCGGGCAGAACCAGCGAGAGGGAAAAGCCUCCAGGAGCGGAGCUGCUCGGGAUGGGUUUGGGUUGGAAUUUUCCCGGCGUGUUUGGGUGGUUUUGUGUCCCUGAACAAGCGUGGGAGCGGCGGCAGCAGAGCCUGAGCUUCCCACGGGGCUGAUCCCGCAUUCCCAGCGCAUCCCAGGGCUCUGAUCCCGCAUUCCCACCGCAUCCCACGGGGCUGUUCCCGCAUUCCCACCGCAUCCCAGGGCUCUGAUCCCAGCGCGUCCCAUGGGGCUGAUCCCACAGGGCUGUUCCCGCAUUCCCAGCCCAUCCCAUGGCUCUGAUCCCACCGAAUUCCCAGCGCAUCCCAGGGCUCUGAUCCCAGAGCAUCCCACAGCUCUGAUCCCAGCGCAUUCCACGGGACUGUUCCUGCAUUACCAGCGCAUCCCACGGCUCUUAUCCCAGUGAAUUCCCAGUGCACCCCACAGGACUGAUCCCAGCCCAUCCCACGGCUCUGAUCCCAGCGCAUCCCACGAGACUGUUCCUGCAUUCCCAGCGCAUCCCACGGCUCUGAUCCCGCAUUCCCAGCCCAUCUCAGGGCUCUGAUCCCGCAUUCCCAGGACUCUGAUCCCACCACGCCGCUCCAUCCCGCGGCCGGGAGCACAAAACUUUCUUCCCCUGGAAGAAAGGAAAGCCGAGGAUUCGCCCGGUUCUCCCGUUGCCACGGCAACCCCCAAACUUCCAUCGGGAGAAUCGCCCAGGGCCCGCAAUCCCGCUCCGCUCCCGGCUGGGUUUUCCCUGCCCCGUCCCUUCCCGGCAAUUCCAGGGUGUCAAAUCAACUCCAGGAGAGGCCAAGGAAUGUCCCCAGCACGCUCCUGUCCCCGGGAGAGCCCGGAAAAGGCUCCUGGGGGACAGGGAUGCUCUUCCCAUUUCCAUUUUUAAUACCAGGGAUAUACAUCCCCACCUCUCUCCGCAGUGCCGUGGUGGGAAUGAAAAUCCACUUCCAACACUUGGUUAUUAUUCCUACUAAUAAUAAUUUUAAAAAUUGGCUGGAGGAGGUGUUGCUGACCUUGGCACGAAGAGUGAGCAGGGGCUCAGCACCGGGUGGGGUAAAUGGGAUUUUUGGCCUCAUCCCAAGUCAGCAACUCCUCCCGGAGCCGGUCAUUAAUCCCAGGAAAUGCCCCGUGGCUCGGGGCAGCGAUGAUUUAUUGCUGCAGGAUCCCGUCCCCGACAUCCCGGGGCCAAAUCCUGGAGCCGCUCCAGGCA